rnacentral:rRNA from 1 species
UGGGGAAUUUUCCGCAAUGGGCGAAAGCCUGACGGAGCAAGACCGCGUGAGGGAGGAAGGCUCUUGGGUUGUAAACCUCUUUUCUCUGGGAAGCGGUUCGGGCUAAUACCUUGGGCUAAUGACGGUACCUGAAGAAUAAGCACCGGCUAACUAC